GACGAACGCUGGCGGCGUGCUUAACACAUGCAAGUCGAACGGAAAGGCCCUGCUUGCCGGGUACUCGAGUGGCGAACGGGUGAGUAACACGUGGGUGAUCUGCCCUGCACUUCGGGAUAAGCCUGGGAAACUGGGUCUAAUACCGGAUAGGAGCCAUUUUUAGUGUGAUGGUUGGAAAGUUUUUUCGGUGUAGGAUGAGCUCGCGGCCUAUCAGCUUGUUGGUGGGGUAAUGGCCUACCAAGGCGGCGACGGGUAGCCGGCCUGAGAGGGUGGACGGCCACAUUGGGACUGAGAUACGGCCCAGACUCCUACGGGAGGCAGCAGUGGGGAAUAUUGCACAAUGGGCGCAAGCCUGAUGCAGCGACGCCGCGUGGGGGAGGACGGCCUUCGGGUUGUAAACUCCUUUCGCUAGGGACGAAGCUUUUUGUGACGGUACCUGGAUAAGAAGCACCGGCUAACUACGUG
rnacentral:rRNA from 1 species